AGAGUGGAAUUGAGCCAAGGAUGACUUGCCGGUUUAUAUACAAUCGGUUCAUGAACCAUUGUUUUGGUCACAUACUCAGCCCUUUGGUUGUGUCUGGCAAGUUGACCUUGGCUCUGUUUCGUUCUCU
rfam:Brassica rapa chromosome A1, whole genome shotgun sequence.